AAUGCUCCACUGCAGCCUGGAAGAGCGAGGGAGUGAGAGAGCGAGAGAGAGAAUUUUAGUUAUGGCACAAUGAAUACACAGAGACACACACGAGUGAAUCUGAUGCAUUCAGAUACUCUUUGGCUCUCACAUCAAACAGGGGUCAGCAGAGGAUAAAAAUCAAAGAAAAGCAAGGAGGAGCAAAACCAAACACAACACGCUGUACAGGACCCCAGGCUAACCUGGCUGCCUAGCAUUUUGCCAGCAGUAGGACAGCGGUGAACUACUGCUCGUCUGCAUCCAGCCUGUUCUACCGUGGAGAGGAAACACUGGAGAGGACCUCCACUGAUUUUACAGAUGAGACCAGUCAGCUCAUCAAGGUGGCCGCUCAGCCUGUGAAAACAUCUGCAUAUUGUCCUCUGUGUUCCUAGAGGGAGCUCUCCAGAGUUUGAGAAAAUAACCCCUGAUGAUGUCAUCAGGGGUUAUUUUCUACACUUAAAGACCCCAAGAAUUUUUAACAGAAACAUUUAAGACAGGGGAGUACACAACAAUUUCAUAUCAAACAAUUAUAAUUUGGUUUGGAGAUAUGUUUGACCGGCAAUGGGAGAUAACUAAUUACUUUUCGUAUUUGAGUAGAGAUUCUGGUAUUGGCUACUGAAC